rnacentral:rRNA from 1 species
UACGUAGGGGGCAAGCGUUGUCCGGAUUUAUUGGGCGUAAAGAGCGUGUAGGCGGCCAGAUAGGUCCGUUGUGAAAACUGGAGGCUUAACCUCCAGCUGUCGAUGGAAACCAUUUGGCUAGAGUCCGGAAGAGGAGAGUGGAAUUCCUGGUGUAGCGGUGAAAUGCGCAGAUAUCAGGAAGAACACCCGUGGCGAAGGCGGCUCUCGUGGGACGGUACUGACGCUGAGACGCGAAAGCGUGGGGAGCGAACAGG